rnacentral:pre_miRNA from 1 species
GAUUUCAAUUGAAAAAGUCAUCAACAACGAAGUUGUAUAACUCAUCAAGAUCUAUAACUUUUAUUUUGGUCGUUUCUUCAUCCGACGAAGUGAUAGUAACAUUGUUUACAAAAUUUACAUUUGUCUCAUUUGGUUCUAUAAACUAUAAGAGAGAUAUGUAAACUUUGUAAACAAUAUUACUAUCACUUUAUCGGAUGAAGAAAUGACCAAAAUAAAAGUUGUAUGUCUUGAUGAGCUCUACAACUUUUAUGUUCAUGACUUUUUCAGCUGAAAUU